CGCAUCCUACCGUGUAUAUCACAUCGGCGGUGGCGGUCGCUGCCACCGCGCUCCAUGACGCCGGCGACUCUGUCCUCGGGACCUCGGCCUGGAUCCGCGCCCCAUGACGCCCGUGACUCUUCCUGUAUCCGGGCGCGGCAGAGACGGCCCUGCCCCUCACGCAUCCACUGGAGGAGGAGGAAGAAGGCCUGGCGCCCUGUAUCCCCUGUCAAGGAAGACCUUGCUUGCCACGGUGAUGUUGUUGUAUGUACAUCAGAUAACCUCAUUUAUCUCACGAUUUUGUGGAACACUGGAGUGAAGAACAACAGAUUUUGCUAACGCUAUGUGGCUGUCUUCCAAUAUGGUUCUGCCGUGCUCUUGAAUAUUGCUGAUCAUGAAGUUGAGCACUAUCUUGAUAUGAUCAGGAAUCAUGCUUGAUAUGAGGAAAGACGGUGCGCAAGGGCUCCCGCGAGGCAUGCAGCGCGCGUGUGUGAAUGUGCAGAUGCGAGGCGGUGGAGGGCUCAACAAGACUAAUGGGAGGAUCAUCAGACCAACAUUAUCAAAUUGGCUGCUUCAAAUUUUGUUCGGGAAGCCGGCGGACAGCCAGAGCAGGAAGGCGUGGAGCUUGAGCUGCAACGACAACAACAACUUGGGGGUCAGCUGCAAAAACAACAGCUCAAGUUUUCAACCAAGUGUAAGGUUGCAGUCAGUCAAUGAUUGCAGUUCUACAAUGACACAUUCAGACUCUUGCAUCCAAAGUUAGAUAGGAACAUCGAAAGAAUCUCCGAAACUUAUUUACAGGCGACAGAAAACUUCACACCUAUUUUACCUCCAGUGGUUAAACACUCUUGUAGUUUUGACUCAGAUCGUGAAGCUAUCUGAAGCACCAUAGAUUGAGUUUGCAAGCAAAAGGAUCAGACAACCUGACAGUACAGGUAGCAGUCUUUUUCUUCCAAACUGUAGUAUUGAUGCCUGUCUUGCGGGUAAGUUACACUUGUGCGACCGAGAGGUCGACCAACAAGUUGUUGAUCUCUUAUUCUCCGAAACUUGAUCCUUAUAUAACUGGCUAUUAGUUAAUUUUGUUCAGGCCCCAAGUUUUUUAUUGAACUUUUGGUCUGUUUAAAAUACCAGUACACGAUAUUCAGGUCCAAAGUUAAGUACCAACCUAUUUGAGCAAGUUGGAAACACAUCCAGAUCUGGAGUAGUAGAAAUUCCUUAGUGCAUUGGGAUAUUGACCUGCAGGUACCGAAGUGUGUGCUGUUUUUCAACUCAACCCUGCUCCUGAUGAUUUUGUGACUGUUGAAAGACAGUAUGCACCUCAUAGGCUCACGACAUUCUCUCUGUAUAAUAUAAGCCAGCGUUAGCAGUUCUGUUGGGCUAAUAAAGUAGGGAGCCGCGCUACAUAAUGAUACAAAGAGGACACUUAAGGAGGUUUUGCAAGUGCUUCCAAUUUAAGUAUGCAUCUUCUUGAAUCAAAGUGCCAGAACAUGUAUCUUUACCUUGAGGUGUUUUUGUCUCCACGAAUGAUAUUAUCCUGACUUCGCAAUUGUAGCCUCGAUGCACUCUAUUGAUCUCAGUGGAGGAGCAUACACAUGUUUUUUGGGGUCCAUUCUAUGAGAUUUCAUUGUUUCAUAGUCAUUUAGCCAUGGAGGCGAACCGCUGGCAUCAUUGUGUUCCGGAUCAGAAUUGUGAAUGAACUAUGAAUUUUUUAUUUGUAAGAUGGAUAUUUGUGCUUAAGUACAUUUAUUCUUGCCUUCUUGUACAUGGAAAGGAACCAGGAGUUUAAGGUUCCAUAGAAUUUCC